UACGUAGGGUGCGAGCGUUGUCCGGAAUUACUGGGCGUAAAGAGCUCGUAGGUGGCGUGUCGCGUCUGCCGUGAAAGCCCAUGGCUUAACUGUGGGUCUGCGGUGGAUACGGGCAGGCUGGAGGCUGGUAGGGGAGAUCGGAAUUCCUGGUGUAGCGGUGAAAUGCGCAGAUAUCAGGAGGAACACCGGUGGCGAAGGCGGAUCUCUGGGCCUUACCUGACGCUGAGGCGCGAAAGCUAGGGGAGCGAACAGG
rnacentral:rRNA from 1 species